UACGAAGGGGGCUAGCGUUGUUCGGAAUUACUGGGCGUAAAGCGUGCGCAGGCGGUUCGUGAUGUCUGGUGUGAAAGCCCCGGGCUUAACCUGGGAAUUGCAUUGGAAACUAGCGGGCUGGAGUGUGGCAGAGGGGGGUGGAAUUCCACGUGUAGCAGUGAAAUGCGUAGAGAUGUGGAGGAACACCGAUGGCGAAGGCGGAUCUCUGGGCCAUUACUGACGCUGAGGAGCGAAAGCGUGGGGAGCGAACUGG
rnacentral:rRNA from 1 species